UGAGGAAUAUUGCACAAUGGGGGAAACCCUGAUGCAGCAACGCCGCGUGGAGGAUGACGCAUUUCGGUGUGUAAACUCCUUUUAUGAGUCAAGAAAAUGACGGUAGCUCAUGAAUAAGCACCGGCUAACUCCGUGCCAGCAGCCGCGGUAAUACGGAGGGUGCAAGCGUUACUCGGAAUCACUGGGCGUAAAGGACACGUAGGCGGGUUGGAAAGUCAGAUGUGAAAUCCUACAGCUUAACUGUAGAACUGCAUUUGAAACUUCCAACCUAGAGUAUGGGAGGGGGAGAUGGAAUUAGUGGUGUAGGGGUAAAAUCCGUAGAUAUCACUAGGAAUACCUAAAGCGAAGGCGAUCUCCUGGAACAUUACUGACGCUAAGGGUGUGAAAGCGGUGGGGAGCAAACG
rnacentral:rRNA from 1 species